GACGAACGCUGGCGGCGUGCUUUAGGCAUGCAAGUCGAACGCGAAAGCCCCUUCGGGGGUGAGUAGAAUGGCGAACGGGUGAGUAACACGUGGGUAACCUGCCCCUCGCAGGGGGAUAACCGGGGGAAACCCCGGCUAAUACCCCGUACGCUUGCUGGGGCGCAUGCUCCGGCAAGGAAAGUUAGCUUCGGCCAUCCGGCGAGGGAGGGGCCCGCGGCCCAUUAGCUAGUUGGUGGGGUAACGGCCCACCAAGGCGACGAUGGGUAGCUGGCCUGAGAGGGUGGUCAGCCACACUGGGACUGAGACACGGCCCAGACUCCUACGGGAGGCAGCAGCAAGGAAUCUUGCGCAAGGGGCGAAAGCCUGACGCAGCAACGCCGCGUGGGCGAUGAAGGCCUUCGGGUCGUAAAGCCCUGUUGUCGGGGACGAAGGGCGAAGGGUUAAUAGCCCCUAGCCUGACGGUACCCGACGAGGAAGCCCCGGCUAACUACGUG
rnacentral:rRNA from 1 species